ACACCCUCAACCUUCUUGGUUUCUUGACCGGGAAGGCUUGGACUUUGGAGGUUGUCCUUGCUGGCUUGCCAGCUCCUCCUAAAUGAAUUAGUGGGGUCCGCUUGGCCUAUCCUUGACGUGAUAAGUAUGCUUCUACGUCUUGGGUUUUGUGCUGUUGCCCUGGAACCUGCUUCCAACGGUCUUUGUUUCAAAGACAAUGUUCAAGUCGCUUUUGUUACUUGACCUCAGUGA
rnacentral:misc_RNA from 1 species